UGGAUGUAGUGCUUUCAGUGAG
rnacentral:miRNA from 1 species